UCCAUGUGAUCGAACGCGGCCGCGAGCCGCU
rnacentral:sRNA from 1 species